rnacentral:rRNA from 1 species
UACGGGGGAUGCAAGCGUUAUCCGGAUUUAUUGGGUUUAAAGGGUGCGUAGGCUGUGAGGUAAGUCAGCGGUGAAAUGCCCCCGCUCAACGGGGUGAAGUGCCAUUGAUACUGCCUUGCUGGAAUGCGGAUGCCGUGGGAGGAAUGUGUGGUGUAGCGGUGAAAUGCAUAGAUAUCACGCAGAACGCCGAUUGCGAAGGCAGCUUACCGGCGCUCAACUGACGCUGAGGCACGAAAGUGCGGGUAUCGAACAGG